GUCUGGAAACAUAAAACCAGUUGAGAAAGGAGACUAGACUAUGGACAAGAAACGUUGAAUCCACAGCCAAUAGCUCACAAUGUGUGUGGACAGAAUGCUAGCCACAACAGCCAAUUAGAGACACACAUACUGAAGGACAAGGAACUCAGUGACAGCUUCUUCAACAUCCACAGAGAAACAACCACCUCCCUGAAAGCAGCUCCAUUGUUAAGAAGACAUGCAGGUGAGGACCAGGGGCUGGAACCUGGGUCCUGGUGCACUGCAACAUGUCCACUCAACCGGGU